rnacentral:tRNA from 1 species
GGAAAGAUAUUUUAAAAAAAAAAUAUAGUUUGCAUCUAUAAAAUAAGUCAGAGCUUUCUUCCCA